UCCCUAGUGGUCCAGUGGUUUAGACUCUGCACUUCCAAUGCAGUGCACAUAGGUUCGAUCCCUGGUUGGGAAA
rnacentral:tRNA from 1 species